rfam:Strongylocentrotus purpuratus Contig16570_fixed, whole genome shotgun sequence.
ACAAAAGUCCUUUUUAGGACUACACACACUCACACACUCAAGAAAG